rnacentral:lncRNA from 1 species
UGAAUCUGUGACAUCGGUAAGGAACGAGCCCUAUAACUUUGGCUGCGAACACCGAUGACAGAGCAUUGAUGUGACCAUCCACAAAAAGAGGAUUCUAAGAUCCGCCUGCUGGGGAGCUGGGGCAGAGUAAGGCAAAACAAACUAGUAAUAAGAGAGAAAGAAGUGAUGGCAUCUCGUGCCUGCAGGACUACAAAGCUGGAUAUAAUGCGGCUUCCUUUCCCAAACA